AGUUCUAUGCCUGAUAAAAGGAUUAAAUUGUAAAUUUAUAAAUGAAAGUAUUUUCUGGAACUA
rnacentral:tRNA from 2 species